AUAGAUGGAGGAGAAUGAUCCGGACUGUGCAGCUAAAAACAAUGAAUGAGACGUGGAGGAGGUGACCAAUCCUCGGCAUUAAGUUGGCAACAUGUUGAAGAUUGAAGGCUCACAGUCCAGCAGAGCAUACAGAUCCUUUACCUCGGUCACCUGCGGCUCCAGCUUCCUCAAGUGCUGCCCGACGAUACUGUGGUAGCUCUUCACAUAUGUGCUGAAGACUUUGAAGCUGGGUGAACGCCGUUGACCUUCACCUGCACGCCCUGGGACACCGCCUCCUUCCAGGCCUCCAUCCAGCUGUCUGAUAAGCCGCCUGG